GUCCUCGCGGAGUAGUCUGGAGUGCUCACCUGGUUGUCAACCAGGAGGUCGUGGGUUCAAAUCCCACCGGGGACGC
rnacentral:tRNA from 1 species